CGAACGCUGGCGGCGUGCUUAACACAUGCAAGUCGAACGGAAAGGCCCUGCUUUUGUGGGGUGCUCGAGUGGCGAACGGGUGAGUAACACGUGAGUAACCUGCCCUUGACUUUGGGAUAACUUCAGGAAACUGGGGCUAAUACCGGAUAGGAGCUCCUGCUGCAUGGUGGGGGUUGGAAAGUUUCGGCGGUUGGGGAUGCACUCGCGGCUUAUCAGCUUGUUGGUGGGGUAGUGGCUUACCAAGGCUUUGACGGGUAGCCGGCCUGAGAGGGUGACCGGCCACAUUGGGACUGAGAUACGGCCCAGACUCCUACGGGAGGCAGCAGUGGGGAAUAUUGCACAAUGGGCGGAAGCCUGAUGCAGCAACGCCGCGUGCGGGAUGACGGCCUUCGGGUUGUAAACCGCUUUCGCCUGUGACGAAGCGUGAGUGACGGUAAUGGGUAAAGAAGCACCGGCUAACUACGUG
rnacentral:rRNA from 1 species